rnacentral:misc_RNA from 1 species
ACUUGAAGAAUGUAAGAAUGAAUAUCAUGUUCGAAAAACUCAUCAACAAGUUAAAAGAACUUGAAGAGUUUGACGCAUGGAAAGAAGCGCAUAUGUUUCAAUUGAGAGAGCAGUUGGAUACAAGGAAAAGUAUUGAAAAUAUAAAAUCACGAAGUCUUGAAAAUGCAAGGAAACUACAAAAAGAGCAAGAAAAGCAACUUGAAA